rnacentral:sRNA from 1 species
AUGCGCAGAGGGCCGAUCCAGUUCUUUCCGGCUGGAAUGGGGAAUUUGUGAGGUAGGCCGGAAGUGGUGUUGCGGAGGGAACUGUGGGGAGAGCAGAGGGGCAGCUCUGCUGGAGAGACCUGAGGCUUGCAUCGCUGGGCCCGGCCGGGUCGCUGCGGCUGGGCUGGAGGUCAAGGAUGCAUUCCAGGAAAGUUCUAUAAAAAUAUACCAUCAACUCCAACCUGAUAUUUGACCUAGCCAUGGAAAACCUCAUUGGCUCCUCACUGGAUCAGACCAUAAAAAUGAUCCAGGAAUGAAAAUCUAAGAUAAAUUCCCACCACUUCAAGAUGUUCUUAUACAAGUCAACAGUCUAGCAGAUCAGCCAGUCUCUUUCAUCAUCAAGCAGACAUACUCAAGAAAGAGGAAUAGUGAAGUGAAAUACACAGAAGCAUGUUCAAGUUCAUCUGUUGAAUCUGGAAUUGUGAAUAGUGACAAUAUUGAGAAAAAUACUGACUCCAAUCUGCAAACUUCAACUUCAUUUGAGCCACAUUUCAAAAAGAAAAAAAAGAAAAAUUUGAAACAUUAAGGGAAAACAGUUGGGUAAAAGAUCCAUUUGCUUUUCGAAACC